ACAGCUCAGCCAGAGCAUGAGACUCUUAAUCUCAGGGUUGUGAGUUCAAGCCCCACAUGGGGUA